GAUGAACGCUAGCGGCAGGCCUAAUACAUGCAAGUCGGACGGGAUUCAGGAGCUUGCUUCUGAUGAGAGUGGCGCACGGGUGCGUAACACGUAUGUAACCUACCUUUAUCAGGGGGAUAGCCUCUCGAAAGAGAGAUUAAGCCCGCAUAAAAUCACAGCACAGCAUUGUGUAAUUAUCAAAUAUUUAUAGGAUAAAGAUGGGCAUGCGGAACAUUAGCUAGAUGGCGGGGUAACGGCCCACCAUGGCGACGAUGUUUAGGGGAUCUGAGAGGAUGGCCCCCCACACUGGUACUGAGACACGGACCAGACUCCUACGGGAGGCAGCAGUAAGGAAUAUUGGUCAAUGGGCGGAAGCCUGAACCAGCCAUGCCGCGUGCAGGAAGACGGCCCUACGGGUUGUAAACUGCUUUUAUACGGGAAUAAACCCAGAUACGUGUAUCUGGCUGAAUGUACUGUAAGAAUAAGGAUCGGCUAACUCCGUG
rnacentral:rRNA from 1 species